CUAGUUUAAAUAUAUUAUAUAGUGUGUAUAUAUCUAAAAACUGGAAUUAUUAUUAUUAUUAUUAUUAUCAUCAUGAUUCUUGCUAGCAAUUAAAAAAAUAAAAAUAACAAUCUCGUGAGUGAUUAAUCUUUUAGUGGAAAACACCAAAAGUGGAAUGCCACAAAAUGGAAUCCAUGUGUGAUUCCUCAUCUCAUUGCUUUAUUUAUUUUGUUUUUAGUACAACUUUCUUCAGUUUAUUUCUAAAAUUCUAAUUAAGUACACAUUUCCUUAACGUAACGCACCAACUGUCGUCUACUUUCGUAGCUUCUUUUUAAUAUGUACCUAUUCAUAUUUUACAUAUCUAAACUAUACUAAAAGAAAAAUAAGCUGUGCAUAGAGAGUGUCCACGUUGGUUUAAAAAAUUAACCAAUAGGAAGACUCAGUUUUGUCACGUCAUCUUCAUUAAGAAUCAAGUCAAGUUUCUAAGUUACCGGACUUUCGUGUGGGCUAAUCUGUACACAUUAUCAGCUCUAAGCGACUCAUCAACUUCACCUGCUUCGUACCCAUCGUAGAAACGCAAACGUUUAUCACCAUUUCCGAUUCUCUUCUGUAACGUCGGUCUCCACCAAUCUUUCUCAUUAAACCCCCUUCUUUACAGCUACAAUCUGACCCAUGCAACUGUUCCGAAUCCCUGAUUUUUACCUUAUAUAAAUCUUUUCUUUGAUACUCUGAUCCUCGCAAAAUCAGGCAAUCUCUUCACUGUCCCCUUAACUUUCUCUUCUCUGAUGGCGAUCAAAUCGGCCGAUCUCUUCAUUGUCUUCUUAACUUUCUCUUCAGUCAUAUUUUUCUUGACAAGAGAUAGUUGAAAUCAUGUUUAACAAGACUAAUCAACAGACUGGAGGAAUUGGUCGGGGAAAAAAUCUGAAGGGUGCUGGCGUCUAUGGCGUCGUAUGGAAUUGGGCCGGUUCUUCUUCCCUAGCUUGAGCGAACUGUGUCGGUCUGAGGACGAAUAGGAAGAAGAUGAUGAAAUCGUCACUGUUUCAGAGGUCAAUAAGAUCUUGAAGGGUUUUGCCCAAAUAUGUAAGAACGGAAAUAUCUCUUGAUUUGAUCAAGGCAGUAAGACAGGAGUGAUCAAAUGUCUCAAAGCAGCUAUUCAGAGAAGUCUUUGAGAAAAUCCCACAGGUGAAGGUUGGAGGAAAACCUGGUGAUGCAGAUAAUCAGAGCGCGUUAACCGAAAAAGUUUUACUUGAACUAAACUGAAAGUCAAACAAUGGAAUAGAAGAGAUGUGUAGGGACCAAUGUAACUGGGCCAUCAACGGUAUGAUUCCUCACCAAACACAAUAUAACAGUAAAUCUUAAUCCAACAAGCUCCAUUAUUUUUCUUUGUCUCUAAGAUUCAUAAUCAUUCUGGAUUUAAGAUUUGAAGCCAAAAAAACAAUACAAAUGAGACUAAGUUUUGUUUCCAAAACUUAACAUUUUCUUUUUGCCAAUGCCAACCAUACCGGAAGCUCAAUUGGAAUUUGCUAUUCUAGCGUACCAUCUCUUUUUCAGAGUGUUUUGAAUGUCAAUGCAACAGUUGCGCCUCUCCACUAUUUGGUACAUUCCAUUACAUUAACGCAGAAAUCUGCACUGGUGUCAAUGCCUCAUGGAGAUUCCAUUACACCCACGACUUAAAUAAAACAGCAAGGACAAGAAAUAAGUCACACGUGCUCUUUUGGCUACUAAUCGUUUCACGGAUAUGGGGUGUGAACGUGCAAGCAAGCUGGUGUCUUCAGGUGUUCAAAAAACAAAAUCUUAUGCAGCUCCAGCCGGUGAUCCUAGAAUUGGUCUUUAAAAGCUUAGCUAAUGUGCAAAGUUUAGAACAUUGUUUCUCUUCAGUUAUAUGGAGAAAAGCAAGCGAGUGCUAUCAAAGUAAAAACCUUCAACAUAGAAGGCAAUUCAUAUCUCCGUAGAAAGAAGAAGUCUGGUCAGAAGAAAAAAAAGUGAUGAUGAGAUAAGUAAAUGGUUUUGACCUUCCUACCAUGUCCUAAGGUCUCGGCUGUAGCUUUUCUGCCAUAAGUAUAUCAACAAAAACCAAUGUCUGUAGUCUAGCUCCCAGGAACAACAUAGGAGUUAGUUUCCAGCAAUGUGGCCAUCACACAUGUCGUUUUUCUCCGUCGUUUGGACUUGACAUAGCCUAAGAGAGAAAGAAUAGAGUUUUCAUGAAUUAUUCCUAUGUUUUUCCUAUUUUUGUUUUAUGUUGCCUUAGUAUCUCAGUUAGUUUUUUUUUUAAAUAAAAAGUAAGUCUAUAAAUAUAAAGGAUAUACUCCUUUUAGUAUUAGUAGAUUAUUUAUGGAUUGGGGUUGAAUUAUGAACCUUUAUAAAUAUUUUAUAAAUGAAUUUAUAAUGUCAGUUUUAGUUUUUCAGAAAUUUAAAGUAUUUAUGCAAAUAUUUAUCUCUUAAAGAUAAAUUUAAAUAGUGAUAUUAAAUUUGGGGUAAAAGCUAAAAUUAAAAUUCUCCCAGAAAUCAUAACAUACUUUGUUUCUCCAAAAAUUCUAAAAAGGGAUGUUCAUGUCUAAUUGCAGCUUCUAAUGUUUUUUCCUUCCAUAUAUAUAAAUUUAUUUUUUCAAAAGAAAUUUUGGUUCACACACUAUUAUGCGUUUUAUUUAAUUAGCAAACAGUUUAUCCAAAAUUAUGUUUCAAUUUACAGAAGUCCAACACCAAAUAAGAUAUAGACUUAUUUAUUAUAUAAUGUUAUCAAAAUUAUAUUAGAACAAAUUUACAAAAACAACAUCUACACA